GAGCGGCAAACGGGUGAGUAACACGUGAGUAAUCUGCCUUUGGGUGGGGGACAACUUCGGGAAACCGGAGCUAAUACCGCAUAAUGUUAUUUGUUCACAUGGACGAAUAACCAAAGGGGGGCACUUCUAUCCUCCCGCCUGAAGAGGAGCUCGCGCCUGAUUAGCUAGUUGGUGAGGUAAAAGCUCACCAAGGCGAUGAUCAGUAGUCGGUCUGAGAGGAUGGCCGGCCACACUGGGAUUGAGAUACGGCCCAGACUCCUACGGGAGGCAGCAGUCUAGAAGCUUCGGCAAUGGGGGAAACCCUGACCGAGCGACGCCGCGUGCAGGACGAAGGCCUUCGGGUCGUAAACUGCUUUCGACUGGGAGGAAAGGUAGUGUAGUUAAUACCUGCAUUGCUUGACAGUACCAGGAGAAGAAGCCCCGGCUAACUCUGUGCCAGCAGCCGCGGUAAUACGGAGGGGGCAAGCGUUGUUCGGAUUUAUUGGGCGUAAAGCGCGCGUAGGUGGUUGAGUAAGUCGGAUGUUAAAGACCCACGGCUCACCCGGGGGAAUGCGUCCGAUACUGCUUGGCUAGAGUACAGGAGAGGGAAGUGGAAUUCCUGGUGUAGCGGUGAAAUGCGUAGAUCUCAGGAGGAACACCGGUGGCGAAGGCGGCUUCCUGGCCUGUAACUGACACUGAGGCGCGAAAGCGUGGGUAGCGAACGGGAUUAGAUACCCCGGUAGUCCACGCCGUAAACGUUGGAUACUAGCGUGUCGAGGGCGUUUUCUUACCCGCCUCGGCUGCCGCAGCAAACGCCUUAAGUAUCCCGNCUGGGGAGUACGACCGCAAUGUUGAAACUCAAAGGAAUUGACGGGGGCCCGCACAAGCGGUGGAGCAUGCGGUUUAAUUCGACGCAACGCGAAGAACCUUACCAGGGUUUGACAUCACCGUAAGGAACCGUGCUUUCCUGGAAACAGGAAAGCUUAGGUAGACCAGGUGUUGCAUGGCUGUCGUCAGCUCGUGUCGUGAGAUGUUGGGUUAAGUCCCGCAANCGAGCGCAACCCCUAUCACUAGUUGCCAUCAGUUUAGCUGGGGACUCUAGAGGANAACUGCCGGGUGUCAAGCCGGAGGAAGGUGGGGAUGACGUCAAGUCAUCAUGGCCCUUAUGCCCUGGGCUACACGCGUGCUACAAUGGCCGAUACAGAGGGCUGCAAGACCGAAAGGUGGAGCUAAUCCCUUAAAGUCGGUCCCAGUUCAGAUUGGGGGCUGCAACUCGCCCCCAUGAAGGUGGAAUCGCUAGUAAUCGCGUAUCAGCUACGACGCGGUGAUACGUUCCCGGGCCUUGUACACACCGCCCGUCACAUGACCCGAGUUGGCUGCUCCCGAAGUCGCUUACCUAACCCUCGGGAGGGAAGUGCCGAAGGAGUGGCUGGUAAGGGGGAUGAAGU
rnacentral:rRNA from 1 species